rnacentral:rRNA from 1 species
UACGAAGGGGGCUAGCGUUGUUCGGAAUUACUGGGCGUAAAGCGCACGUAGGCGGAUAUUUAAGUCAGGGGUGAAAUCCCAGAGCUCAACUCUGGAACUGCCUUUGAUACUGGGUAUCUGGAGUAUGGAAGAGGUGAGUGGAAUUCCGAGUGUAGAGGUGAAAUUCGUAGAUAUUCGGAGGAACACCAGUGGCGAAGGCGGCUCACUGGUCCAUUACUGACGCUGAGGUGCGAAAGCGUGGGGAGCAAACAGGG